CAGUGGGGAAUUUUGGACAAUGGGGGAAACCCUGAUCCAGCAAUGCCGCGUGUGUGAAGAAGGCCUUCGGGUUGUAAAGCACUUUUGUCCGGAAAGAAAACGCUCUAGCUAAUAUCUGGGGCGGAUGACGGUACCGGAAGAAUAAGCACCGGCUAACUACGUGCCAGCAGCCGCGGUAAUACGUAGGGUGCGAGCGUUAAUCGGAAUUACUGGGCGUAAAGCGUGCGCAGGCGGUUUGUUAAGACAGAUGUGAAAUCCCCGGGCUCAACCUGGGAACUGCAUUUGUGACUGGCAAGCUCGAGUAUGGCAGAGGGGGGUGGAAUUCCACGUGUAGCAGUGAAAUGCGUAGAGAUGUGGAGGAACACCGAUGGCGAAGGCAGCCCCCUGGGCCAAUACUGACGCUCAUGCACGAAAGCGUGGGGAGCAAACAGGAUUAGA
rnacentral:rRNA from 1 species